rnacentral:misc_RNA from 1 species
AAGUCGUAACAAGGUUUCCGUAGGUGAACCCUGCGGAAGGAUCAUUAACACGUAUCCAACGUUUAACCACCCCGUGCACCUUCAUUGAAACCCUACGUUAACACGAAUUGCCUGGCGGAAAACGGAUCGGGAUCGCAACUACCGAUGCGCCGGAUCCUAGCGGGUUCAGGUGUCGGCACCCCCGAACAACUGUUAGCAAUGGAUAUCUUGGCUCUC